CCUACGGGAGGCAGCAGUGGGGAAUUUUGGACAAUGGGCGCAAGCCUGAUCCAGCCAUGCCGCGUGCAGGAUGAAGGCCUUCGGGUUGUAAACUGCUUUUGUACGGAACGAAAAGACUCUGGUUAAUACCUGGGGUCCAUGACGGUACCGUAAGAAUAAGCACCGGCUAACUACGUGCCAGCAGCCGCGGUAAUACGUAGGGUGCGAGCGUUAAUCGGAAUUACUGGGCGUAAAGCGUGCGCAGGCGGUUAUAUAAGACAGAUGUGAAAUCCCCGGGCUCAACCUGGGAACUGCAUUUGUGACUGUAUAGCUAGAGUACGGCAGAGGGGGAUGGAAUUCCGCGUGUAGCAGUGAAAUGCGUAGAUAUGCGGAGGAACACCGAUGGCGAAGGCAAUCCCCUGGGCCUGUACUGACGCUCAUGCACGAAAGCGUGGGGAGCAAACAGGAUUAGAUACCCUGGUAGUCCACGCCCUAAACGAUGUCAACUGGUUGUUGGGUCUUCACUGACUCAGUGACGAAGCUAACGCGUGAAGUUGACCGCCUGGGGAGUACGGCCGCAAGGUUGAAACUUAAGGAAUUGACGG
rnacentral:rRNA from 1 species